CUUAUACAUUUUUUUUUUGCUAUUUAUAUUUUACGCUUCCCCUUUAGUUAGUAUGUAACUUUAUCAGCUGAUGUUGAUAUUCUGCUUCAGAGCUGUUAAGGAAAAAACAUUCGUGACACUUGUUGAAGAUGGUCCGACAGGCCGUGGUGAUAGGGACCACCACAGUGGGGUUCUGCAGUGGGGAAGAGAGGUUGGACUCAACUCCAAAUGUAUGAUGGUCAAGGAGGAAUUUAUAGCCAAGGAGCAGAGUGUGGGAGUCAGUGGAUGGGAAACCACUACGUGGAAACGUUAGGGGUUAGGGAGAACCUGACUAAACUGACCUAACGGGACUCUUGCUGAAGGCAGGCCAGAGUGGUUCGGCGUCCCCUGGGGCUGGGGAAGGACGAGGGACCAGAUCAGAUGGGAGAGCUCACGUAUCCUGAGGGCGGGGGUUUCUUCUAAACUGACUUAGUAGGGUUCUUAACUAAAACUGAAUUUUACAAGGAUGUGUACAGGUGGGCCUAGGAGACGGUUCAGGAGGCUGAUUGUAGAUUGGCCAAGCAAAAGUCUUUGUCAGUGUCUUACUGUGUUUUUUUCUGGGUCUUUUCUGUUUCCCCCGUUUUCUUGAUAUCCUUUUUACAGUCUUACAUCGACCCUCUCUUUGCUUUAGGGACAUACCCCAGAAUUCCACUUCAGAGAUCUCUCACUGGAUCUCUCUUUGCACAUUUUUCCCCUGAUACAAACCUAUCUAUAUCCUUUAAAACAAAACAAAACAAAAAACUAUUUUAAAAGAGUCCACUGCUAUUUUUCUUGCUACUAUUGUUAUUAUAAUUAUUUGUGUUCCUCUAGCAGACCGAAAUGAGAUGAUAUAGAAGCUUCAGGCCAAAGGCAUGUAUAAAUUAUUUAGUAAGAAACAAAAGAAGCAGCUUUCUCAUUUUAAUAAAUAGUCAAGACCUGGGGGAUUUUUUUUAAACAGUUAAAUAUAAAACAAAACAUGUUAGUCAAAAUGUUUAAAUAUUGGAAAAUGAGAGGGUAAAUUUUAAAACCACCCAUGAUGCCCAAAUCAUGAGAUGUUAACAUUUGGUAGGGUUUUUUUCCCAUUGUGUGGAUCCUGGGGUGUGUGUCUGUGUGUGU